GAGGUCGACAGUCCUGGUGAUAAUUGCUUCUAUAGAAAGUUAGCACAUGGCAGUGUCAAUCUCUUGCUUUUCUUCUGAGUAGUAUUUUAUUUAGUUGUAAUUCAAUCAAUAAUUUGCUUCUUGAAAUUAAGUAAUGAAUUUCUUGUUUUACUUUAUAAAUUUCAGAUCCUGCCUUUACCUGCUCCCUCCUAUACUGAUGUGGUGUAUGUGGUACUGCUGAGCUUGUAUGUGAUCUGAACCAUUGUAAAGGUUGCAGUUCAAGGGCCUGAGGUGGAAGCAGAAUUUGUGAGGAUUACUACUGCUCCACUUGUUCCAAGGCUUUUUGCACAACUUGA